ensembl:lncRNA
AUUCUUAUUCCUUUGUAGACAAAAAAAACCUAUUAUCUAUAUACGCAGUCUGAACAGCUCCCAGCACAGAACUGCCAUAGGAUGGCUCCUCGAAUGUCUUGUGUGGCCAUUUGCAGAGGAAUAGAUCAACAUUUAAACAAGAGAGAAUCAAAAAGGAUUAGAAAUGGCAUCUACAGGAAGAUGACAUAAUGCACACUACGCCUCAACCUCUGAGAAGGCCAUUACCCUAUGGCUCUGUACACUGAAUUCUCAGCAAGAACUACACCCAAAAACAUGUGUGUGCCAAGAAUUAAUGAGCGUUAGAGCCAGUGUAAGCCCAGCAAGUUACAUCAAUCGGAACUGGUAAUUGAUUUGUCAAAGAUCCCAUCUUUAUUCUGGAGUAAGAGAGAAUCAUUCCAUUGCAUUCCAUAACCAUGUCACCUUUCAUAAACACCAGCAUUUAUUCAUGAGGCUCAAACAAAGGAAUAAAUGAUGCUCCCAAAUGAACAAGAGGUAAAUUUGUUUAAACAGCAAAACCCCUAAAGAAAUAUAACUUAUAUUAUUAAUACUGGAUUCUUAUUUGAGAUGGCCUUCACUGUAAAUGCAUUCCAGGAGUUUUAUCACUUCUUUUAGGAGGGACACAAUCAGGUCCAAGCUUCACGGAUACACAAAACCAAACUUUGGGGCCAAAUUCUAUUUAAACUUGUUUGUUUGUUUGUUUCCCAGUGAGGACUAUGUUGAAAUUCAGGCAAAUGGAAAAGGCCCCAAAAUGUGAUCCAUAAAGUUCUGUGUUGGCUUUUUGGCACUGUGCAACACUGCAAACAAUUUCUCAUCCAUUAAGCGUGCUGUCUGGUUCAUGGGCAAAAGGAAAAUCAUUGGCACACAAGAACAAGUUUUAAAUUAUCUGAUGAAUUUUCCCAUCGUUAAGUUAAAUUUGCAUCAUUGGCUCAGGUUAAUGUGGAGUGAACUGAUGUAGUGGUCUCAACACAGAGCAUCACAGAAUUUGUCCCAGUAGUGAAAACAAAUUCCAACAUCUUUGUAUUCCUUGGUCUAAAUUAAACCGUUCAAUUGACAAGGGCUGCUCUGAAAGUAUGGCCUCCUAUUUUAUUUUGUUGGCCCAUCGUGUCGGGGUGGAUGUUGGUCACGCAGUGAUCACACAGAAGUUUCUACUUGUACGUAUCUUUUGUAGCUUCUUCUUCUGUAAUGAGAGCCCCUCUCAGCAUUCACCUGCUACCAAGCAGCAGCAAUGCGAGGGUGCAGCAUUAACACCCGAUCUGGAAGUUAUCUGUGGUAUAAAAAUCAACUGAACCAUCUCAUUAGGACCAUACCCACCCUGAGGUGCAUACUCAGCUCUCACUGCCACACGUUAGCAGUGCAUUGCCGUCUCCACCUGUCUCAGGUGCCCCAUUGGUGCCCAGGUCAUAGGGUGCCAAGUGUUUGUUUGGGCACUAUCCUCCAUGGGCCCUGGAGAAAGGAGUCUGGAUACUGCAUUUCUUUAACUGUGCCUUCUUCAAACAGUUUGCUUCCUCCCUCUAAAACGGACCAGAUGUACUUAUGAAACAGUGAUUAAAUACUAA